CCUAAAUCCGCACAUAUACCGACACACCUUCAUGGGUGCUCAUAUCGCAUAUAUGGGUUUGAUCGUGGGGUAUAUGGAGGCCUAAC
rnacentral:sRNA from 1 species